rnacentral:rRNA from 1 species
GAAUUUUGCCCAAUGGGGGAAACCCUGAGGCAGCAACGCCGCGUGAGGGAUGACGGCCUUCGGGUUGUAAACCUCUUUUCUCAGGGACGAUGAUGACGGUACCUGAGGAAUAAGCCACGGCUAACUACGUGCCAGCAGCCGCGGUAAUACGUAGGUGGCAAGCGUUGUCCGGAUUUACUGGGCGUAAAGAGCGCGCAGGCGGCCAGGUCAGUCGAAUGUGAAAGCCCCCGGCUCAACUGGGGAGGGUCAUUCGAUACUGCCUGGCUUGAAGAUAGGAGAGGGAAGCGGAAUUUCAGGUGUAGUGGUGAAAUGCGUAGAUAUCUGAAGGAACACCAGUGGCGAAGGCGGCUUUCUGGCCUAUUCUUGACGCUGAGGCGCGAAAGCUAGGGGAGCGAACGGG